rnacentral:rRNA from 1 species
ACUCAAAUGAAUUGACGGGGGCCCGCACAAGCGGUGGAGUAUGUGGUUUAAUUCGAAGCAACGCGCAGAACCUUACCUGGGUUUGACAUCCACUGACCGAUGCAGAGAUGUAUCUUUCCCUUCGGGGACAGUGAGACAGGUGCUGCAUGGCUGUCGUCAGCUCGUGUCGUAAGAUGUUGGGUUAAGUCCCGCAACGAGCGCAACCCUUGUCCUUAGUUGCCAGCAUUAAGUUGGGCACUCUGAGGAGACUGCCGGUGUUAAACCGGAGGAAGGCGGGGAUGACGUCAAGUCCUCAUGGCCCUUACAUCCAGGGCUACACACGUACUACAAUGGCGGAGACAAAGGGUCGCGAAACCGCGAGGUGGAGCUAAUCCCAAAAACACCGUCUCAGUCCGGAUUGAAGUCUGCAACUCGACUUCAUGAAGCUGGAAUCGCUAGUAAUCGAAGAUCAGCACGCUUCGGUGAAUACGUUCCCGGGCCUUGUACACACCGCCCGU